GACGAACCGUGCGAACGUUGUUCGGAUUCACUGGGCUUAAAGGGCGCGUAGGCGGGCCAUCAAGUCAGGGGUGAAAUCUUUCGGCUCAACCGGAAAAGUGCCUUUGAUACUGGUGGUCUCGAGGGAGGUAGGGGCAUGCGGAACUUCCGGUGGAGCGGUGAAAUGCGUAGAUAUCGGAAGGAACGCCGGUGGCGAAGGCGGCGUCCUGGACCAACACUGACACUGAUGAGCGAAAGCCAGGGGAGCAAACGGG
rnacentral:rRNA from 1 species